CCGCCGUAUCAAACUUCUCGAGCGCGACCGAAACCGGCUCCCACUUUCCAUUACACCAAUCAUCACCGUCCAUUCCUCCGCGGCCUCUCCCUAUCAGCUGUCACCCACCCAUAGCGUCCACCUACAAGUCCAUUUCGACGGUCAGAUUGCGUUAACCCAGUCCUCCCUCUUCUAGAAGGCCGGACCUCACGCGCAAACAAGGAGGAGGUAAAAUGGAGCGCCGUAAAAAAGUACCGACGUUUACGCUCCGUACGUUCUCAUAAAACUAACGUGCGGGAUGGGAUCCGCUAUCCCUGGGAUGAGGUGGUACUUAUUUAUCCCG
rnacentral:lncRNA from 1 species